AACAUAUAUGUGAGGGAGAGAGAGAGAGAGAUGGAAAAAGAAAAAAAAAAAGAAAUGCUCAAAGUGUCUUUAUAGUAAAUAAAAAGAAUUUUUUUUAAAAAAAAAGUACAAAUUUUUAUGUUAGCAUUUAAUGCAUUUUCUCUUUCUCUCUCUCUCUGCCUCUUUCUCUCUCCCUCUCUCUCUCUCUCUUUC